rnacentral:rRNA from 1 species
AGAGUUUGAUCCUGGCUCAGGACGAACGCUGGCGGCGUGCCUAACACAUGCAAGUCGAGCGGAGACAGUGAGUAGCUUGCUAUGAGCUGUUUUAGCGGCGGACGGGUGAGUAACGCGUGAGCAACCUUUCCCAGACAGGGGAAUAACACACCGAAAGGUGUACUAAUACCGCAUAAGACCACGGAAUCACAUGGUUCUGGGGUAAAAGAUUUAUCGGUUUGGGGUGGGCUCGCGUCCGAUUAGGUAGUUGGUGAGGUAACGGCCCACCAAGCCGACGAUCGGUAGCCGACCUGAGAGGGUGAUCGGCCACAUUGGGACUGAGACACGGCCCAAACUCCUACGGGAGGCAGCAGUGGGGAAUAUUGGGCAAUGGAGGAAACUCUGACCCAGCAACGCCGCGUGGAGGAAGAAGGUUUUCGGAUCGUAAACUCCUGUCCUUGGAGACGAGUAGAAGACGGUAUCCAAGGAGGAAGCCCCGGCUAACUACGUGCCAGCAGCCGCGGUAAUACGUAGGGGGCAAGCGUUGUCCGGAAUAAUUGGGCGUAAAGGGCGCGUAGGCGGCUCGGUAAGUCUGGAGUGAAAGUCCUGCUUUUAAGGUGGGAAUUGCUUUGGAUACUGUCGGGCUUGAGUGCAGGAGAGGUUAGUGGAAUUCCCAGUGUAGCGGUGAAAUGCGUAGAGAUUGGGAGGAACACCAGUGGCGAAGGCGACUAACUGGACUGUAACUGACGCUGAGGCGCGAAAGUGUGGGGAGCAAACAGGAUUAGAUACCCUGGUAGUCCACACUGUAAACGAUGAAUGCUAGGUGUAGGGGGUAUCGACCCCUUCUGUGCCGCAGUCAACACAAUAAGCAUUCCGCCUGGGGAGUACGGCCGCAAGGUUGAAACUCAAAGGAAUUGACGGGGGCCCGCACAAGCAGUGGAGUAU